rnacentral:rRNA from 1 species
AUUGAACGCUGGCGGCAUGCUUUACACAUGCAAGUCGAACGGUAACAGGUUAAGCUGACGAGUGGCGAACGGGUGAGUAAUGCAUCGGAACGUGCCCGGUCGUGGGGGAUAACGCAGCGAAAGCCGCGCUAAUACCGCAUACGAUCUGAGGAUGAAAACGGGGGACCGUAAGGCCUCGCGCGAUCGGAGCGGCCGAUGUCAGAUUAGGUAGUUGGUGGGGUAAAGGCUCACCAAGCCAACGAUCUGUAGCUGGUCUGGGAGGACGACCAGCCACACUGGGACUGAGACACGGCCCAGACUCCUACGGGAGGCAGCAGUGGGGAAUUUUGGACAAUGGGCGAAAGCCUGAUCCAGCAAUGCCGCGUGCAGGAAGAAGGCCUUCGGGUUGUAAACUGCUUUUGUACGGAGCGAAAAGGUCUCCUCUAAUACAGGGGGCUCAUGACGGUACCGUAAGAAUAAGCACCGGCUAACUACGUGCCAGCAGCCGCGGUAA